ACUUCACCCCGCCUCCAUUCUGAUUGACGCGCCGCGCACAGCCUGGGCUGGAGGAGACAGAUCUCCGCUUGUUCGCAAUGCAAGGUUCAUAGGGAUGGACGGUGUCAAACAGAUUUCCAGACAUGGGCUAGGCAGUCGCUUAGGGCGGCAUGGGGCAUUUCUUGCAAGAAAUGCAUUUCACUUCAUCACAGCAGUUUCAUAAGCUGUUUGGACUCUCAUUCUGACUGCACC